rnacentral:sRNA from 1 species
GGAUGUGAGGGAGAUCUGGCUGAGACAUCUGUCAUCCCAUUGAUCAUCAAGCUCGGUCGGGUGACCUGAGUGGUAACGUGGGCGUCCCCUUCCUCCUGCACCACUCC